CGCCUCUUGAAUAAAAAUAAGAGGUCCAGCCUGCCCAGUGACUAAUAUUCAACGGCCGCGGUAUCCUAACCGUGCGAAGGUAGCGUAAUCACUUGUUCUUUAAAUGGGGACUAGUAUGAAUGGCAUCACGAGGGUUAUACUGUCUCCUUUUUCUAAUCAGUGAAUCUAAUCUCCCCGUGAAGAAACGGGGAUACACCUACAAGACGAGAAGACCCUAUGGAGCUUUAAAUACCUCUUCAAACGUUGGACCUCCUCCCCAGUUUUAAACUCACCUAUAUUAACCCCGUACGCUAUGAAGACAACUUUAGGUUGGGGUGACCGCGGAGUACAACAUAACCUCCACGCUGAAUUUAGACUCUUUAAGCCUGAGCCAAGAGCCACUGCUCAAAGCACUAAAAAAUUAACAUUAAUUGACCCAAAACAUUUGAUCAACGAACCAAGUUACCCUAGGGAUAACAGCGCAAUCCAUUUCAAGAGUCCAUAUCGACAAAUGGGUUUACGACCUCGAUGUUGGAUCAGGGUAUCCCAGUGGUGCAGCCGCUACUAAUGGUUCGUUUGUUCAACGAUUAAAACCC
rnacentral:rRNA from 1 species